GGCUCAGAUUGAACGCUGGCGGCAGGCCUAACACAUGCAAGUCGAGCGGAAACGAGUUAACUGAACCUUCGGGGGACGUUAACGGCGUCGAGCGGCGGACGGGUGAGUAAUGCCUAGGAAAUUGCCCUGAUGUGGGGGAUAACCAUUGGAAACGAUGGCUAAUACCGCAUGAUGCCUACGGGCCAAAGAGGGGGACCUUCGGGCCUCUCGCGUCAGGAUAUGCCUAGGUGGGAUUAGCUAGUUGGUGAGGUAAGGGCUCACCAAGGCGACGAUCCCUAGCUGGUCUGAGAGGAUGAUCAGCCACACUGGAACUGAGACACGGUCCAGACUCCUACGGGAGGCAGCAGUGGGGAAUAUUGCACAAUGGGCGCAAGCCUGAUGCAGCCAUGCCGCGUGUGUGAAGAAGGCCUUCGGGUUGUAAAGCACUUUCAGUCGUGAGGAAGGUAGUGUGUUUAAUAGAUGCAUUAUUUGACGUUAGCGACAGAAGAAGCACCGGCUAACUCCGUGCCAGCAGCCGCGGUAAUACGGAGGGUGCGAGCGUUAAUCGGAAUUACUGGGCGUAAAGCGCAUGCAGGUGGUUUGUUAAGUCAGAUGUGAAAGCCCGGGGCUCAACCUCGGAAUAGCAUUUGAAACUGGCAGACUAGAGUACUGUAGAGGGGGGUAGAAUUUCAGGUGUAGCGGUGAAAUGCGUAGAGAUCUGAAGGAAUACCGGUGGCGAAGGCGGCCCCCUGGACAGAUACUGACACUCAGAUGCGAAAGCGUGGGGAGCAAACAGGAUUAGAUACCCUGGUAGUCCACGCCGUAAACGAUGUCUACUUGGAGGUUGUGGCCUUGAGCCGUGGCUUUCGGAGCUAACGCGUUAAGUAGACCGCCUGGGGAGUACGGUCGCAAGAUUAAAACUCAAAUGAAUUGACGGGGGNCCGCACAAGCGGUGGAGCAUGUGGUUUAAUUCGAUGCAACGCGAAGAACCUUACCUACUCUUGACAUCCAGAGAACUUUCCAGAGAUGGAUUGGUGCCUUCGGGAACUCUGAGACAGGUGCUGCAUGGCUGUCGUCAGCUCGUGUUGUGAAAUGUUGGGUUAAGUCCCGCAACGAGCGCAACCCUUAUCCUUGUUUGCCAGCGAGUAAUGUCGGGAACUCCAGGGAGACUGCCGGUGAUAAACCGGAGGAAGGUGGGGACGACGUCAAGUCAUCAUGGCCCUUACGAGUAGGGCUACACACGUGCUACAAUGGCGCAUACAGAGGGCG
rnacentral:rRNA from 1 species